rnacentral:rRNA from 1 species
UACGAAGGGGGCUAGCGUUGUUCGGAUUUACUGGGCGUAAAGCGCACGUAGGCGGAUCGAUCAGUCAGGGGUGAAAUCCCAGAGCUCAACUCUGGAACUGCCUUUGAUACUGUCGAUCUGGAGUAUGGAAGAGGUGAGUGGAAUUCCGAGUGUAGAGGUGAAAUUCGUAGAUAUUCGGAGGAACACCAGUGGCGAAGGCGGCUCACUGGUCCAUUACUGACCGCUGAGGUGCGAAAGCGUUGGGGAGCGAAACAGGAUGAGAU